rnacentral:rRNA from 1 species
UACGGGGGGGCAAGCGUUGUUCGGAAUUAUUGGGCGUAAAGGGCGCGUAGGCGGCUUUGCAAGUGGCGGGUGAAAUCCCUCGGCUUAACCGAGGAACUGCCUGUCAAACUGCAUGGCUUGAGACCAGGAGAGGUGAGUGGAAUUCCCAGUGUAGCGGUGAAAUGCGUAGAUAUUGGGAGGAACACCAGUGGCGAAGGCGGCUCACUGGACUGGUACUGACGCUGAGGCGCGAAAGCGUGGGGAGCAAACAGG